AUGAGUCUUAUAUCACAUCGUGUACUUAGUGCUCAGAUUGUCAAAGCAAAGAAGGAUCAACGUCACAACCUCUUCCACAUCAAAGGAGUCGUCAAGGAGCGUUCCGUUCGCAUAAUCAUUGAUGGAGGGAGUUGUAACAAUUUAGCAAGCAUUGACAUGGUGGAGAAGCUCUCCCUACCUUCGCGACAACAUCCACAACCAUACUACAUUCAAUGGUUUAAUGAUGGUGGAAAGGUAAAGGUAACACGCAUGGUGAGAGUUCCUUUUUCUUUAGGUUCAUACCUUGACACUAUUGAUUGCGAUAUUGUGCCUAUGCAAGCUUGUUCUAUGUUACUAGGAAGGCCAUGGCAAUAUGAUAGACAAUGUUUACAUGAUGGUAGAACUAAUCAGUACACUCUCACACAUAAAGGAAAGCAAAUCAUUCUACACCCUAUGUCUCCUGAGCAAAUUUUAAAAGAUGAUCUUGCUAGGGCUAGUAGAAACACAAAUAUUGAGCGUACUCAAUCUGAAAAUCAGAAAGUUGUUGAUGAGUUAGAACAAUUUAAUAAGCUGCACAAAUCUGAUCCUAGCACAUCUAAAGAAAUUAAAUUGAAAGGUGUAUCUUUCUUAGCUACACGUGCUGAAAUUUUUGAGUUAGAUGCUCAUACUGAUGAAUGUUAUGCUCUUAUUUGCAAAGAAGUUUUGUUUUCAUUUGAGGAUAUGCCUUCUUCUUUGCCUCCUGUUGUCGCUAACCUUUUGCAGGAGUAUCAUGAUGUUUUUCCAAAGGAAGUACCACUGGGGCUGCCACCUAUGAGAGGAAUUGAACAUCAAAUUGACUUGAUCCCUGGCGCCUCAUUACCCAACCGUGCGCCGUACCGGACUAAUCCAGAGGAGACUAAGGAGAUUCAGCGACAAGUUCACGAACUACUUGAAAAAGGUUACAUUCGUGAAUCCCUUAGUCCAUGUGCUAUACCAAUUUUACUUGUUCCUAAAAAAGACGGUAUUUCGCGUAUGUGUAUUGAUUGUAGAGCCAUCAAUAAUAUUACAAUUCGAUAUCGUCAUCCUAUUCCUAGAUUGGAUGACAUGCUUGAUGAACUCAGUGGCUCAGUUGUGUUUUCUAAAGUGGACUUGCGUAGUGGCUACCAUCAAAUUCGUAUGAAACUAGGUGAUGAAUGGAAAACUGCUUUCAAAACUAAAUUUGGUUUAUAUGAGUGGUUAGUUAUGCCUUUUGGAUUGACUAAUGCACCUAGUACUUUCAUGAGACUAAUGAAUGAAGUUUUGCGAGCUUUUAUUGAACGAUUUGUGGUAGUAUAUUUCGAUGAUAUUUUGAUUUAUAGCAAGUCACUAGAGGAACACUUAGACCAUUUGCGUGCUGUUUUUUCUGCUCUGCGUGCUGCACGUUUAUUUGGUAAUAUCGAGAAGUGCACUUUUUGCACGGAUCGAGUCGCUUUUCUUGGCUAUGUUGUGACAGCGCAGGGAAUUGAAGUUGAUAAAGCCAAGGUUGAAGCGAUCCAGAGUUGGCUGACCCCUAACUCGGUCACACAUGUAUGA
rnacentral:rRNA from 1 species